AGUGAAUAGAUCCCGGGUAGUCCACGCCGUAAACGAUGAGAACUAGACGUUGGGAGGCUUGUCCUCUUAGUGUCGAAAAGCUAAACGCGUUAAGUUCUCCGCCUGGGGAGUACGGCCGCAAGGUUAAACUCAAAGGAAUUGACGGGGCCCGGCACAAGCGGUGGAGCAUGUGGUUUAAUUCGAUGCAACGCGAAAAACCUUAACCUACCCUUGACAUCCUAGGAAUCUUUCAGAGAUGAGAGAGUGCCUUCGGGAACCUAGAGACAGGUGAUGCAUGGCUGUCGUCAGCUCGUGUCGUGAGAUGUUGGGUUAAGUCCCGUAACGAGCGCAACCCUCGUCCUUAGUUGCUACCAGUUCGGCUGAGCACUCUAGGGAGACCGCCGGUGAUAAACCGGAGGAAGGCGGGAUGACGUCAAGUCAUCAUGUCCC
rnacentral:rRNA from 1 species